rnacentral:misc_RNA from 1 species
CUUUUUCGUCUGAGCAGUCCAGGGGUGAAACACGUUGAAGUUGUUGUCACCGGUUCCUUUAAAAACUCUCAAAAAUGGCAAACCCUAUGAUGCAGGAUUCAGUCUGGACAAAACAACAGAAAUAUGAAGAGGCUGAGGCAUUAUAUCAACAGGUGCUUGCAGGAACCGCCCCAAAAGGUGCUCCAAAAGGAGCUGGGGGUGGUAAGGGUGCUAAGGACAUAAAAGGUGGCAAAUCAGGGGGCAGCACAAUCAAAAAUGAAAUAGCUGAAGCCAGACAACAAAUUCAAAAAGUUCUUAACUCAGGAGGAUCUGGGGGAGCCCCAGCAGACAACAGCCAGGUGAUGAACAGAGUGAGCUCCCUGGAGAAGGAAAACAGAGAUCUGAAAAAGGUUGUUGAAGAUAUGAAGAGUUUAGUACAAAAGCUAGAGAACCGUGUCACCAAACUAGAGGGAGGAAGCUCGGCCCCUGCUGCCCAGGCCCCCGUCCCCAAGAAACCCGCCCCCGCAGAUGAUGACGACGACGAUGACAUUGACCUCUUUGGCAGUGAUGAUGAGGUUGAUGAGGAGGCAGAAAAAAUCAGACAGGAAAGAUUAGCAGCAUAUGAAGCCAAGAAAUCUAAAAAACCCGCCCUCAUCGCCAAAUCUAGUCUUCUUCUUGAUGUGAAACCCUGGGAUGAUGAGACAGACAUGAAGAAGAUGGAACAGGAAGUUCGAAAGAUCACCGCUGACGGGCUCUUGUGGGGUCAAGCAAAACUGGUGCCAAUUGGAUAUGGCAUUAAGAAGCUACAGAUCAAUUGUGUCAUAGAGGAUGACAAAAUUUCCACAGAUUUUCUGGAAGAAGAGAUUACAGCAAUCGAGGAUUUAGUACAAAGUAUGGAUAUCGCUGCCUUCAACAAAAUAUAAGAACUUUCUACACAAUAAAGUUUUUCAGCAACUAUUUUACUUGGGAUUUGUGUGUUUCUGUAAACUGACUAUCAACCUACAGCCAUUUUGCUGGAGUAUUUGGAGGAUCAUGCUCCAUUACUACUCCUUGUAUAUUCUUGCAAGAAGAAUUAUCAAUCUGGAAUGCCCUUUGGUUAUUAUCUGCAAAAUGUUUCAUGCUUUGCAAAUGAACAACUAUAAUUUGUUAGUCCAUGAAAAAUUAUCCCAUCCUUUCCACCCAAAAUAAAAAUACCUGGGACGUGAACCGAAUCCUGGCUACAAGGAACGCCUCUCUAAGAUCAAAGGAUCAAUAGAAUCCUUACCCACAGCCGAAUCCUCAACUCCAGCCCCAGUUACAACUCCAGCCCUAGCUAAGACUAUUGUUGACAAUGUCAUCAAGGAAGAACCAUCGCAGCCAUCGUGUGGUCCCUUCGUCAGUAUCAAACCUUCCACAGUACCGACAACACAACGAAAACCAGAGGCACCGUCAAAGAAUCCUACCAUGCCAGAAAUCAAGAUAUCUUGCCCGUCUCCUGCGGGCAAAGAGGUGCAGAAUGAAUCGAAACCGGUUCAACGACCGGGAACGUUGCCUCUUCUUGGGACAACUUUGACUAACAGGAGAGGGUCUGUGUAUCUCCAAAUCGCGGCUGUUUUAAGUAGCCCGGAUGACGCUAGUGUGUCGUCUGAUGACUUGGAAUCCGACGAGGAGGAAACUCCAAAGAAAUCGAAGACUAUUUCGUCUCGAAGAAAAUCCUUCAUGGCAUGGAUCACCGAGAAGAAAAAGGUCUUUCCCGCCCUUAAACAGGCGGGUAAAACGUCAGAGGCGGAGAUCCGUAGACAGUCGUUUUUCUCGUGGGUAGAAUCCAGAGAGAGGGAGAAAGAGAGGGCUCGGCAACUCGCUCUUGAAGAAGUAGACGAAUUCGACGAUUUUAGUGAAAAUUUGGACACGAAAAUACAACCUCGAGUUUCUAGUUUAAAACGCAGUGAAAGUUUAAACAUCAACCCAUUCAAGGCAAAAGCGAGACAGUUAAUGACAAGUUUUCGUUUUAUUCGCAAAGAGCCCCUUGAUGUAAGGCUGAAAAAGUUUUACGCAAAACUGGAAGAAGUCAAACGGCGAGAUGCCAUGGCUUUGCGGGUGUUGAGUAGGAACGGGUGUAGAAGUGUGCAAGAUAUUCGAAGUCCCCAUGUCUGAUCGACUCAUUUUUUUUUUGCUUCAAAACACACGUUUUAUUUUUUUCUUGUGUGAAACCAAACCAAGAAACAGAGGAACGGCAUGUUCAGCAGAACAAGGUUGCGCAUUUCGUUUUUGCAUUGCGAGGUAUGGAAUUCUGGCGAGCUCUUGUGGUUUAUGACAUCUCUGAAUUACCUUAAACGAGUCGUCCCCCCUGAUCUUGGUCUUUCGGUUGCCGUUCCUUUCAGCUAUCACAAUGGUGCUUCUCAUGAAAAUUCGAAGGGAAGCAUCGAAUUUGUCGAGAAGUUUUCACAGUCGUUUUACAUAUUUUUUUUAAAAUUACAAUUCAGUUUAUGUGAUGUGCAUUGGAUUUCACAGUGGAUUCAUACAUUUACUUUGGACAGUUUCAAACUCAGUUCUAUAUAUAACUAAUAUAAGUAUCAUAAUGAUUUUUUUUAUAACAUAUUGUUAUACAAAUGUAGAAGGGUAUUAAAUUAAUUUUCU